UCCCAGCUGCAAGCAAAGAAGUUUUAUCAGGACUGUGGGAAGAAGCACACUAUUUAUGGUUUUCUCAGAGCAUCCUUAGCACCCCGACAUUUUUCUCCGCCAAUGACCACAAUAUCAGAGAGGAAUGUCAAACCAUGCCUGGAUCCUUAAGGGAGCAUUCAACCUCCAGCAGAAGCCCAUGCAGCUCCGCCUCUAGUCAGCUCUUUAUAGGCUGUGGUUGGGGUAGUGAUUCAUAUUGUUUGCAAAUUGCUCACUUUGAGAAGCCUAAUUAUCUUUCAUAUUUAUUACAGAUAAAUAGAGUAUGCCUUGCCCACCAGCCUAUACAAGAUUUUACGCAAUUUUCAUAAUACCAGGAUGUCUUGAGAGUAUAAUAAUUAACAUAGACAUUAUCAUUGAAGGCAACAAAGUAAUCUAUUUGUCUAGUGAUGCAGCAGUCUUUUGAGAUAGAAGUUCCUCCUGACUGCAUUAAGUUCUUUAAGCAUACUAAAAUCAGUUGUUUUAAAAAUGAAAUAUUAGGUUUGAUCUUUGUUCAAGUCAUACUGCUGAUGAUUCAACUGGAUUUCAAGACAGCAAAAAAGCAAUGGCAUCCUAGUUAAUGCACUAAACAUGUAGUUUUAAGAAGUGUGUGCUUGCAAUCAAUAAUCGGAGUUAUUCUCUUGAGUAUACCAUUAAUUUUUCUUGUUUCUUGUUAAGCUUAGGCUUAGGUAGAGGUUUAAGCACACUUGUCAAGUAGCAUUCAUUUUAUGACUCUGUCUUGAAUUAAGUGUAACACAAAAAAGAAAUGAGUUAGAGGGGACAAAUGUAGGUAUUAAAUUUACAGUGCCAGUUUUGAAAAGGAUUGCUCUAAUUCUGCAUACACAGUUAUAUGGUGUCAAAGGUAGUGUUUAUGUGUCUAGUUUCAAAAUGUGACACUGCAAUUACAUGCUUUGUGUUGCAAUCUUUACGCCUGAACUCAAACUAUAUAUAUAUAUAUUCUCUAAACAAAUGAAUUGAAGAAACAACUGCCUAAACAAAGAGGGGUCACAGAAUUAGUGCUUUUAAGAGAAGUCAUGUAACCAAAGGACUAAAGCCCCUGUUCCCAUACAUAGGUAAAUCGAUUCGGUCAUACGUUCUGAGACAAUAUUAACAGCAUAAUUGUCUAUUUAUAUUAGCACUUGGAUUUUAUUUGAUAAGAACUGAUUCAGAAUAAUGGGAAUAUCAUCUUGAAAUACCCAAUAGUACUACAUAUUGCUACUAUAUAACAAAAAUGGCAAAAUGUAGGUAGGUAUGGGCUUGCAUCAAAAGGAGCCAGAAGGCUGAGGGAGGUGAUUCUGCCCCUGUGCUCUGCUAUGUUGAGAUCCCACCUGGAGUCCUGUGUCCAGCUCUGGAGCCCUCAGUACAGCAAACAUGUGGAUCUGUUGGAGAGGGGCCAGAGGAGGCCACAAAAUGAUCAGAAGGCUGGAACAGCUCUGCUGUGAGGACAAGCUGAGAGAGUUGUGGCUGUUUAGCCUGGAGAAAAGAAGGCUCUGGGGAGACCUUAUUGUGGCCUUUCGGUACUUAAAGAGGCCCAUAAGAAAGAUGGGGACAGACUUUUUAGCAGAGCCUGUUGUGAUAGGACAAGGGGUAAUGGUUUUAAACUAAAGGAAUGGAGAUUCAGACUAGAUAUAAGGAAGACAUUUUUAUUAUGAGGGUGGUGAAACACUGGAACAGGUUGCCCACAGAGGUGGUAGAUGCCCCAUCCCUGGAGACAUUUAAGACCAGGCUGGACAAGGCUCUGAGUAACCUGAUCUAGUUGCAGAUGCCCUGUGCAUUGCAGGGGGUUGGACUAGAUGAUGUUUAAAGGUCCCUUCCAACCCAAAGUAUUCUAUGAUUCUACGUAGAUGGAUUUUUUUUAACCUCCAACAAAACCCAUGUUCCUUAAAUGUACCAUAUUGUUCAAAUCUUAUAAUAUUUAUUUUUUAAAUAGUAAUUAAGGUAUUAUAUUGUACGCUUCCAUUGCAUUUUCACACCGGCUUGUAAUUCAGCUGUUCAACUUGCUUCAGGGCAGGUCAAAAAAGCAUAAAACUUUUUAAAUAUUUUUUUUUUUUUAGUAAUGUGAUUAAGAAGCAUAAAUGAUAUUGUAUGCAUCAAUAUUGUGACUCUAUCCUGCUUAGUAUCUCCAGGAAAGUAACACAGAAAAUAAAUAUCCUGUUUUCAAAAAUGACUUCUGCAAACUCUCUCUAAUGGCUUUUUGUAACAAAAUUAUUUAACGUAUUCCAAGAGUUUAAAAAAGGCUUUGGUAUUGUGUAAAUAAAAUAGAUGGCUAGAGUAAACAAAUAAGGUUAGCUGUGGUUAACUGUCCCAAUAAACCAACUUUGAUUAACUCUAAGCAAGUGUUUGCUGGGCCUUUUAUUCUUCUUUCAUAAAUUAAAACUGAAAAAUUAACACAGGCAGUGUGAAUUGGUAACAAACUUUUAAACACUGGUUAUUUUCAGUCUGCAUGAAUAUUUUCCUCAAAGUACUUUGUCCUGUGCGAAGAAAUAGGAAUUGUGUCUCUCAUGCAUUAAUUUGAUGAAUCAUGGGCAAACAGUUGGAUCUGUGGGAUCACCCAUUCUCCUGGAGACUACUUUCCCUUUCUGCUGAUACCUGUGUCAUUGUGGACUUGCCUCAUACCUGGGUAGAAGCCCAUUAGCUGCCUUCAAGCACAGAAGAUGGGAAGCAUCUGCUCCCCGUGGUGAGUUUUCCCUCCUUGUGGAGCAGGUUCAGGAAUGGCUGAUGUCACAAAAGUUUGCAGCUGGCCGGUGCCAACUAAGGACAGCGACCAGAACACAAAGUCAAAAGUAACAAGGGAAGAUUGCAUGCACAAGAGCAUUCUGAGUGCAGUGAUAGCUUGUGUCACCUCUUCUCACAAAGGCUUCAGCUUGGAAGAUGAGGCUGAAAUGUGGAAGCAGUCCAUCUAAAUGAAGGCCAUCAAGCAGAGGAGCAACGCAGACCAGAAGAGCCUCCAACAGUGGACGUACCCUGCUGUUGUGGCUGUCUGUGCUCGCUCCCUCAUUCCUUUGUGAAAAACUCGAGGUCUUUGGAGUGACUAUUUGGAUAGUUAUCUCUCUUGUGAAUUUGUUGCAAUUUUUUGGCUUGUUGCACCUCUCAAGACAAUUAAGCAGGCCUUUCUAACUUCGCCUGUACUUGACGAACAAAACUGGAGUUGGAUUGGAUUGUAAAUAUAAAAGAGAUGGCUCACCUGAUAAAAUAUGUAUUCUCCCCAUUUCUCUAUGACGCUGUUUGCUACUCUGGGUUGCUGGCUUUUUGCUUGACUAAUCCAUGAACUUUUUACUUUAAUACCAAUCACAAAUGUCAGAUAAUGCACCGAAUUUUAACUCUGAUUUGAAUCAUUCCUCAAGUAACACACAAAAAAAUGACUGCACACAAAGUGCUGUAGGUUUGCAUAAUUUCUCCGUACAGGCAACCCUAGGAGAACUAUUUCUGCUGUAGUGAUGUGUAUGCAUAGUUCUGCAGUAGUGUGUCUGUAUGAAUGUGGGUUUGUAUACAUUCUUCAAUCCCAAAAGUCAUGAAUUUAUUUAAAAAAAAAAAAUAACUGGGCCUUUUGCUUUAAGCCUUCAAAUGCACUUUACAAAUUCUGCACUGAAGGUUCCUUCGUUUUACCAUUUUUCUAGGCCAGACUUUUGACUAUUAAGCUGCUCCCGCACCCCAUGUUGCCUGUGGUGGAAAAGUAUCUAUAGUGCUUUUAGCCUCUGAUUUUAGCUGUCUGGUACAAAAAGAAGGGAAGGAAGAAAAGGGCAGGGUCUUGUCAACUGUUGUAGUUUCCAAACAUGUUUUUUAGGCUGGAGAGAUGUAGAAUAAAGAAUGUGCUUUUCCAAUCUGUUUGCUACCACGCUGCUACUCAGAGGAGGUGCAUUAGAUGGCCUGCACACUGGUGGAUGCUAUCAGUCCUGGGUGGUGUUAACGGCAUUUGCUGGAGCAGGGAACCAAGAAUGGUUAAUUUCCCUUUGAAUGGCCCCUUUGAUAAUUACAUGCAUGUGCAUAUGUGUACACAUAUACACACGUGUAUCUCAGCAGUUUAUUUGAUGAUGUGUUUAUUGCACAAAGGUAAUAAAUGCAUUAGUUAUACUUGGUGUAUUAGUUAACUCUGUUAGCUACAGUGUGUUGCAAACCUUUUUUGCUAAUUCACCUUGGUAUUAAUUCUCUCUGUUGCAAGUUUCAGGCUUAUUUUGUUUAGCUUUGUAUUACAAAAUUGUAGUUGGCAGCUUUAUUAAAUCAAACAACCUAAUUUCCUAUCACUUGUCAAGUAUUUGUUCAGUUACCUUCUCUGCACAAUCACCUUUGAAGAUGCUAUUUGUGCAGUAGGUGCCCUUUGGCAAAUAAAAAUACAACGAUGUGAAGUGGUAUAAUUUAAAGGUGACGUAUUUUUUCCCAGACCUGUGACCAAUCAUUCAGUCUCUCCCUCAUGUUUUUUAUGAUGGUAUUACGGUAACAAAACCAGGGAACCUCUUUGUGUGUGUAUCUAGUAGUGCUAGUGAAACAGACUUUUAAACAUCUAGUACUUCCUAAAUUUCUAAUGUGUAAAGUCAAGUGAUUUAAGGGAAUGGAUUUACAGGGUAAAUAGUUUCAAAAAUAGGCAGCUAGGGUGGAAAUACUUUAUUUUCUCUUCUUUUUAUCUUUGCUUAUGUGGUUAUAACUUCAGAAUUCAGCAUUCAGAGCUUCUGAAUGCUCUGUAUAAUUUAAAGUGUGUUUUACAAAAUUCACAUAUAAAAUGCUGUAAUAUUCAUUUACUGUUUUAUUUAUGAUAAGAAAGCAAAUCUAUCCUACUUACCCAGUAGCGUGAUUGCAAAUCAUCCUGAAUCUGAAGUGGAAGUCCUCUGAUUUCUGAUAGUAAAUCUUCUGUAAUUCCCCUGCUUUUUUCAAAGAAUUCUUAACAGGUGUUGAUUAAAAAAAAUCUGGCUGAGAGAAACUCUUUUGCUGGGACUUAAUCUUUAACUUUAGCUUUUAGUUACAACUGACAUUGAAAGCCAAGGGGUUGAGUGGUUAAAACAGCCUUGAAAGGGACGCUGCAUCCCUCAGGCCCAUGGAAUUGUACACAUCUUGUCUGACCCGCGUCUGGAGAGACGACGGCAGCUCCCGCUGCCUCCGGCCUCUGACAAAUGAGUUCUGGCAGAUUGUAGCGCAACAGCUUAAGGUGUUACCAUGCUCAGAUGCUUCUGAUCUCUCUGCUGGCACUUACUACCUGGGAGAGGGCUGCAUUUUGAUAAAAAUGAUGUUUUUCAUCAUGAUGCCAUGCUGUGAAAUGCAGGAGUCAGUAUGUAGACGUGUGCCCUGUUUUGCUGUGGCCUUGAUAAGUGGACAGAGAGCUCUGGGUGAGUUUGACUCUAUGCUAAAUAUACCUGAGCUCGUUUGUUAACAGAUAACACAGCCAGACCUUCACAAGGAAUUUACCUCUGGUCUUCUGUUAGAAGUGGGCACUUAGUUGACAGCAGUCAUUCACACAAAAUGACCUAUCUAAUUUUCUGCCAUUCAGCCAUUUUGUGUCAUUAGUUCAAAGUCCAAACUUUGUAUUUGCAGAAAAAGAAAUAUAAAAAAAUUAAGCAAUGUUUGAGUCUUUGCUGCAAUACUGACUUUUUCCAAGAACAGAGAAUAUUCAAGUAAGGAGAAUAUCUAUAUCCUUCAGAGAUGAUAGAAAUGUUCUGGUUCACAAUAAACAUGGCAGAAGGUUACUAAUCAAAAUAGGAAAAAUAAAAGUCGAUAGAUUGUGUAUUCCACUAAUUUAAUUUGCUCUGAAAACUUUGUUGUUGUAUCAUGGCAUUGAUGUAUGUUCAGGCAUACAUUUUCUCAGCUUCACUGCUCCUGGUUGGCCGCAUCAUAGCACUGUUUCUUCAUCUGUAAUGAUAGGCAAGCAAACGAAUUUGAAAAACUACCAACACAAAGUUCAGAUAGUCCGCUACUGCUUUUAGGACAACUGACUUUCUCAUUUUGCCCCUGAUGGGGAAGUGCAUCAUUUCUCUACCAUGUUCAGUUCUUGUUCUCUUGUUACACUUGACAGGGUUCCUGCAGCCAAGACAAAGUCAUCACAUAAUUUGCUGUCAUAAAAUGUUAUUACUUUUGUUAAAAAAAAAAAACUUUAUUCACAAUUUAUUGUUUUAUACAUGAGAUACUCUUGCUAAUAUUUUUUCCUCUAAUAUACAUACUCUUCUGCAUGUUAGUGUAACUUUAUAGAAGAAAGAGCCUGUUGUGCAGAGUGUACAGCAAGAAAAUACAUGAACAUUUCAAAACCUGGUUUCAUGAAAGGCAGUUUUAAGUUAGAAUACAGACUACUGUUUAUCAUGUUAAAUUAUAAGUGGUGUUAUUAAAAUAAGUUCAGAACAUUAUAUUUAACUUCCUAGUGGUUUUCCCCUAAUACAGACAGGACAAAAUGAUAAACUGAAGUGAUUAAUGCUUCAUCUGCAGCCUGUUCUGUUUUUCUGUCAUAUAAUUGCUAAGAAGGUUGCUGUUGAUCACCUUUGCAGCAAUGGCACAUUAAGGUCUAGUGAAUUAGCCAAUUAAGCAAUUUGUAUUUAUGUAAAGAAUGCAACGGGAUGUAUAAAAUAUAAUCAACUGAUGUUGUGUGCUGCUUGUCUUUUUGCUUUCUUAAUAAUUAGGCAACAUCUAUGCUUUCAGUGCAAAGUGAAUAAAUAAUUGAAUAAGGUAAAUAGUGAAGCUAUUAUGCAAUUACUCACACUUUGGGUAUAUUCUCAGUUUUUUGCAAGGCUAUUCACCUACUAGCUGCCAUUUAUGCCAAUAUUAGCCCUAUAUAUUCUUCUUUUUAUGUUAGCCUCCAGACUUAAAACUUUGUUUCAUGUUUUUCAUAUUCAUCAGAGGGAGAAAUAUAUCUGGUGUACUGUAUAUUUUGAGAAGUUUUCAAGAUUUCAAUUUGUCUUGGGUUAUAGCUUGCAUGAAAAAAAAAAAGCAUGAAAGUGCUACUAAUUUUUAA